GAACACACAGUUAGUCAAUUUUCCUUUUGCUAGUUUUGCAAUAUAAAUAAUUUUACGACUACUACUUGUUCAUUAAUUCAUCUAAUUGAAGGCUAAUUUCUAGCUAUUCUUCUCAUUACACCAUGGCAACCAUAAUUCUAAGAUCUAUUAUAGUCAUGAUCCUUGUUUUCUUUACUUUACUUUUAACUCCUGGAAUCCAAGAAGGCGUUGCUGCUCGUUCCAAUGUGUACAGAGGUAAUUAAUCAUACAUCUACAUCAAUAUUGUAUUCUAUUUCUUUUGGUUGUUUCUUUAUUCAAUUUUCGGAUUCAAAUAAGCAGAAGUACUUGUGAGGAGACCUAUAUGUCCUGCUUGUGUGUGUUGCCAACCUCCACCACCAGGAUCUUGUUGCAGAUGCUGCUCGUCUCCUAUCAAUUCUCAGUCACAUAAUGGUUUGCCUUAAUCGACAUGUUCCCCUGCAUGCAGAGGCGAAUCGAAGAUUUAAACUUGAUGGGUUUAACUUUAUGGUUCUAAGAUUAAACUUAUUACUUUUGAAAUUAGUAAUUACAAAUAAGGUGAAAAUACAGUUCACAUGUACGCUUCGCUGAACAAGCAUUGGACCAUUGGAUGCAUCGAUACUGAUCCAAGAUAAAAUAUAAUGUAGUACUUUUCGUAUGUUUUUGUCUCAAAUUUGGAACGACCUGAUGUUUGUCCAUUUUGUGUCUUCUUGAUCGUAAUCAAUAAGUUAGCUUGAUGUCAUCAAGCCAGCCGGCAUCUUCGGAAGUAACCAAUUUAUAUUAAAUCAAUAGAUAUAUGAUAUGUGUAAAUCAAUAGAUGCAUGAUAUGUGUUUGCAGAUAGAUUUCAAUUCUAGUACGUAAGUGUGUGGUUAUUUAACCUGCAUUCCCAUCUCAUUCAAUCACUUAAACAUGGUAUGUUCAGUGGCGGAGCCACAUUGAACCACCCAUCUCAUUCAAUCACUUAAACAUGGUAUGUUCAGUGGCGGAGCCACAUUGAACCAAGGGGUGUCAAGCGACACCCCUCGCCGAAAAAUUACACUACGUUGACUCUCCUUGACUUUUCGAUGUAUCUAAUUAUUUAUAUUUUGGUACCCCUUGAUAAAAAUUCUGGCUCCGCCCCUGGAUAUGUUAAUAUGGUGAUAAGUAUUUACCUAGUUUGCCUAUGUGUUACCUCUAGGACAUCUUAUUUGAGUUUGCUUAGCGC
rnacentral:lncRNA from 1 species